UCCUGUAGCACUGAAUUUGUUUGACUCUCUCAUCCUAGCCAAGCAUGACUUGUUGAGCUUUUGAGGUCACAGCCUCAGGCAACAUGGGGUAAAGAAUAACCAAGACAAUCUGGAUUGUGAUGCAACUGCAUAAUAGUCUAUGACAAAAGUGCUUAAUACCUUAAUUUAUGUCAUUGCCAAAGACAGCAGUCUUCCAGUUAAAGGACAAGAUCAGCUGGACAAGAUUUACAGUCCACAGAAAAGUCUGAGAAAAGCUCAAUUGAUUUUGAUGAGCUGAAUAAUUAACACACAAGUGUGAGACAAAAAGUCACCGACAGGGUUCUUGAUGCACAACAGUUGUUAAGGAGCAUACCUACAGGGAAGCUAAUAGGAAGCAAGUCAAAGAGGACAGUUGGUAAUAACCAUAAGAAACUCAGGGCAGCAGCUGAACGUGUACUGGAAACCACUUCCUGAAACAGUCACACCCCUCCCAUCACAGAUCCACACGAGAGGUUUCUCAAU